rnacentral:misc_RNA from 1 species
UUAGUUGAGUUGAGUUGAGUUGUACAUACAUCCGAGCAUAUGUGAAUCGAUAUUGCAUUUAAAGACAACAUUCAAGUGGUAAAACUAAGACACAUUUUGAACAUGGCAUGAGUCUGUUACUUUACAGAUGAACCUUUCUCAGACAUGCUACCUGUGUCCUAAUGGGACAAAAAUGUUGCUAAUAACCUCAUGACCCUGUCAUCUCUACCUUAGCUUCUUUUAAUGAUUUAGAUAUAGUCACCUGCCUAUGUUGUGACGGAGUGGCUAAGGAUCUAUGACCUCAAUAAUAUUCCCCCCAAAAUAAUGAGAGCCCCUUUAAGAUGAUUAAAUCUCCGGUUCAGCCAUACAGGAGCAAAUAACAUGUUUACCUCAUAAUUUUCGAAAAAAUUUUAUGCUUCCAAUAAUUUGGUUUUGAAUUAACAUUGGUGCAUGGUAUGGUUUUUCAGUAGUACUUUUGACUUAUUAUUCUGACAUGCAAGAACACAAUUUCUUAGUGAAUAAAGUGAAAUAAAUCAACUAAUUUUGGGAGAUAUUUCAUGUUGUUCAUUUCAUUCUGUGGCAGGGAUGGAAAUUUACCUGUUUCUUUUAUCCAGAAGUACCUGAUGAAGAAAUUUGACCUUG